rnacentral:rRNA from 1 species
UACGUAGGGUCCAAGCGUUAUCCGGAAUCACUGGGCGUAAAGCGUGUGUAGGCGGCGUGUUAAGUGCGAUGCGAAAUCCUGUGGCUCAACCAUACGGACUGUGUCGCAUACUGGCAUGCUAGAGGAUGGCAGAGGCAAGUGGAAUUGGUAGUGUAGCAGUGAAAUGCGUAGAUAUUACCAGGAACACCAAUGGCGAAGGCAGCUUGCUGGGCCAUAUCUGACGCUGAGACACGAAAGCGUGGGGAGCGAACAGG